rnacentral:tRNA from 1 species
CUUCUUGUGGUGUAGUUGGCAACGCGCCUGUCUAGUGAGUAGGAGUCGUGUGUUCAAAUCUCACCAAGAGGA